GAACUUAAGCAUAUCAAUAAGGCGAGGAACAGAAACCAACUGGGAUUCCCCUAGUAGUGGCGAAUGAAGCGGGAAAAGCUCAAGUUUGAAAUCCGGCGGGUGACUUCCGGAGUUGUAAGCUGAUGAGGUAUCGACCGACGUGGUCCGGGCCCAAUUUCCUUGGAACAGGAGGUCAUGGAGGGUGAGAACCCCGUCCGUGGCUCGGGUGCCAUCGUCGUUGUGUCGUGUCCUCUAAGAGUCGGGUUGUUUGGGAAUGCAGCUCAAAAUGGGUGGUAAAUUUCAUCUAAAGCUAAAUACUGGCGAGAGACCGAUAGCAAACAAGUAGAGUGAUCGAAAGAUGAAAAGUACUUUGAAAAGAGAGUGAAACAGUACGUGAAAUUGUUGAAAGGGAAGCGUUUGGCAUCAGCCCUUGGCGUCCGUCGAACAUCCAGGCUUCUGCCUGGUGCACUCGUCGGUCGUCGGGCCAGCGUCGGCUCUGCCUGUCGGAGAAAGGUCCGAGGGAUGUGGCUCACCUUCGAGCGUUAUAACCUCGGGCGUCAUGCGAUAUGGUGGGGCCGAGGUCUGCGGACUCUGUCCUAGGACGCUGGCGUAAUGGUUCCAAGCGACCCGUCUUGAAACACGGACCAAGGAGUCUAACAUCUAUGCGAGUGUUUGGGUGUCAAGCCCGUCCGCGCAAUGAAAGUGAAUGCAGGCGGGAGCCGUAAAAGGUGCACCGCCGACCGGUCCGGGGGCUUACCGAAGGAUCCGAGUAAGAGCAUAGCUGUUGGGACCCGAAA
rnacentral:rRNA from 1 species